UCCAUGAGAUAGGAGGGACCCAGGGGGUAUUUCUAGUUAAUUGGUUUCCUCUGCUUACCUGUAUCUCUUGGGUUCCAUGUCCCAGCAGAGUAGAAUAUGCAGAAUCAGGAUUUCGUUAUCUGUUUUGACUUUGCAGUGCUGAGGAUUGAACCCAUGGCCUCAUGUGCACGAAUAAUUCACUACUACUAACUGACCUAUAUCUGCAGCCUCAAAGGGACAGUAUCAGGAAGGGCUGUCUUCUGGGUUUGUAGAUCUCUGUGACUUUGUAUGGUAGGUAGUAAGUAAAUUCUGGUCUCUUCCUCUUGGUAAAAUUUGAUUGGUGACAAGCCAGAGCAAACAUGGACAUAAUGGGAGAGGAUUCUCUUGCUUUGAGGGGUGAACAUUUGUCACUUUUGGCCACUCAGUUGUCCAGCUCUUCUAAUUUCUCCUUCAGAAACGGCAUUCCUACCCCACGCUCUGUAAAAUCAGUGUGUUCCUGCCAAUCAAACGAAGCCAAUGUGGUCAGCCUGGGUUACUUGAUGUAAAUACAGCCAAUUAGAUUUAGGUUUACCAGGAAUUCUGAGAGGCUUGAUAUUGGGAUAGAAAAUUAUCUAGAAAUUAAAGGAAUCAAUCUCUACUCUGUGACUAGUGUCCUAGAUCCCAAACUAUUGUGAGGUUACAGAGAGCAUCGAGACUCUUAAAGCCAAUAGUCUUUAUUUGCUGGUCAGCGGGAGACAUGGAGAAGUUGGCUACAUAGUGUAGCCAUGAGCCUGUACUGGUUGUUUGGCUUUUUGUGUACAGAACCCACACCCUUUUUGGCAUCCUUUAAUUAGCAUUAAGAGUGACAAGUGAGGCCACAGAACUUACAAAGGGUGGUGCAUUUGUGGAUGUUUUCAGAACUAUGGGCUAUGAUGGAGUAGGUCUCUGUUUUUGAUUUUGGCAGGUCUGUUAGGGUCUACAAGGUUAGCACUUAGGUCAGAAUGAUGCCUUGCUCUCUCUAACACGGUUUAGGUUGUGCUAAGGGCCAAUACAAACCCCUGUCUCAGGCUAAAGUGUUAAGCCUUUCUUUUGAUUUUUUUCAGUUACCCUGGAUCCUUUCAGUACAUAUUUUUCCCUUAAUGUACUUGUUUCCCAUUGCUUGCAGCUAAGGCACCCAGCUGAGGCUCAAGAAGGUGGCAGGAAAGCCCCAGUACACACAGGUAGCUUUGGUUCUCCUUGGACUUCAGGAAUAAUUGUAAGGUGACUCCUACUGCCCCAUGAAGGACACCCCAUGGUCUGUGCAGGUCUCGGUGCUUGUUUAGGGCGAACAAUCUCCUCAGUGUCAAGCCAUCUUCCUCCAUCCUGGCCUUAGCUGAGAAUUCUUAUGGGACUUGGGUCAGAUGCCUGGCCCACUGUCCGACUGUAAGCGGGGGCUGUACUUUCUCAUUGAGGGCACAGGAAAGAUAUCAAAGACUCUGACUCUAAAGAGAAAAGGAAAAUGGAAAGCCAUGAAGAGAGGUAGCGACAGAUGGAGGCGGCCUCAGGUGAGCUUCGUCAACAUGACAUUAGCUUUCCUCACAUUGUGUUCAGAGAUGCCAUUUCCUGGCUCUACUGACAGAGUUUUUCUGAAGCACCAGGCCUGAGAGCCAGCGCAGGCUGGAAAGCCUCUCAGCCAGUGUUGCGGGUGCCAGGAGAUCACAAACAGUCUCUAAUAGCAGCUGGCCCGACAGCUCCGUCCUUUUCCUUCCUGCCAGAUGGAUGUGACCAUCAGAGGCAUCUUCCAGGCCUGGAGAGGUGGCAGGCCCAGUGGGGUAGAGCCAGCCUGGGCCCUUGGUGCUGGCUCUGGCGAUGGUUCGGGACUGUAACAAAUGGUCUUCCCUGUCACAUUUAGGGAGGCUGGUAGCCACUUAAGAACUUUAGCUCUGUUGUAUCCCCGGCAGCCAGGAGCGACGGUCGAGCAUCUGUUGGUAGUUAGAUCAGAUCUCGCCUCUUUGCUUUUCUCUCUUCCUUUCUUUUCCUCUCUUCCUUUAAGCUUUAAAGAAUCAAACGUCUCAGCUCCUUUCAGACUACCUGUUCCCCUAGUCUGUGGUCUGAGGCAUUAACAUAGUGUCUUGAGGGGCUGGAGAGAUGGCUCAGUGGUGACGAGUGUUGAUUGACUGCUCUUUCAGAGGCCUUGGGUUCAAGUGCCAGCACCCACACGGGCAGAUCACAACUGUCUGUGACUUCAGUUGCAGAUCCCCACACCCUCACACAGACAUAACUGCGGGCAAAGCACCAGUGCACAUAAAAGUAAGUCACUAGAAAAUACAGCGUUUUGAAUUCGAAUCAACGAAGCAAUGUCAAAUGCACCGAUAGCAAUAGCACAGGAUGUACCCAGAGCAGACACCUGCUGUGCCUGUGUCACACGCGUAUCUGAUCUCAAACAGCAGACGACUGAAAUACCUUAUCAUUGCUUAGCAUCUGUUAUGUCCCAAGUCCUGCAUUAGGUACCUUUGGGAGGUCCCUGAAUAAUGUGCUUCUCUCUCUGGAAAGGGAGAGAAACAAAGCCAUAAAUAACCGAACCUCAGAGUGUAACAUUAGCUUUGGCUCAGCUCAGAACAGCAAAGCCAUGUUCCAGAAUACGUUCUUGGCUCUCAGGGAAGUGCCUGGGCCAUUUCUUGUCAGCAAUUACGGACCUCCUCCAUGGCCAACUGUCCUCAGAGAAACACCCUGUACGUUAAGGAUCAUCUGUGUUUAUGGAUAUGAAAGAGUAGCUCCAAGAAGCUGAGGUCUUGCUGCUGCUGCUGCUGACAAAGGGUCCGACCAUGUAGCCCAGGCUGCCUUGGCUUCCCUUUCUUGAGUGCUUGCUGUAUGCCACACUGUGCAUCUUGGAUUGAGAAGCUCAGUUCUUGAUGAAAGCCAUGAGACACAAUUGAGA